rnacentral:rRNA from 1 species
CACUGGUCGAGUCGGCCUGCGCGGAAGAUGUAACGGGGCUAAACCAUGCACCGAAGCUGCGGCAGCGACACGAUGUGUUGUUGGGUAGGGGAGCGUUCUGUAAGCCUGCGAAGGUGGCCUGUGAGGGCUGCUGGAGGUAUCAGAAGUGCGAAUGCUGACAUAAGUAACGAUAAAGCGGGUGAAAAGCCCGCUCGCCGGAAGACCAAGGGUUCCUGUCCAACGUUAAUCGGGGCAGGGUGAGUCGACCCCUAAGGC